rnacentral:rRNA from 1 species
GAUGAACGCUGGCGGCGUGCCUAACACAUGCGAGUCGAGCGAACGGACGAGAAGCUUGCUUUCUUGAUGUUAGCGGCGGACGGGUGAGUAACACGUGGAUAACCUACCUAUAAGACUGGGAUAACUUCGGGAAACCGCAGCUAAUACCGGAUAAUACUUUGAACCGCAUGGUUCAAAAGUGAAAGACGCUUUGGCUGUCACUUAUAGAUGGAUCCGCGCUGCAUUAGCUAGUUGGUAAGGUAACGGCUUACCAAGGCAACGAUGCGUAGCCGAACUGAGAGGAUGAUCGGCCACACUGGAACUGAGACACGGUCCAGACUCCUACGGGAGGCAGCAGUGGGGAAUCUUCGGCAAUGGGCGAAAGCCUGACGGAGCAACGCCGCGUGAGUGAUGAAGGUCUUCGGGUCGUAAAGCUCUGUUAUUGGGGAAGAACAUAUGUGUGAGUAACUGUGGACAUCUUGACGGUACCUAAUGAAAAAGCAACGGCUAACUACGUG